rnacentral:rRNA from 1 species
UUCCGGUUGAUCCUGCCGGAGGUCACUGCUAUUGGGAUUCGACUAAGCCAUGCGAGUCGAGAGGGUUCGGCCCUCGGCUGACGGCUCAGUAACACGUAGAUAAUCUGCCCUUAGGUGGAGGAUAAUCUCGGGAAACUGAGGAUAAUACUCCAUAGAUCUAGGAUGCUGGAAUGCAUCUAGAUUGAAAGUUCCGACGCCUAAGGAUGGGUCUGCGGACUAUCAGGUUGUAGUCAGGGUAAAGACCUGACUAGCCUACGACGGAUAUGGGUUGUGAGAGCAAUAGCCCAGAGACGAUAUCUGAGACACGAUAUCGGGCCCUACGGGGCGCAGCAGGCGCGAAAUCUUCACAAUGUGCGAAAGCACGAUGAGGGGAUCCCAAGUGCUGGCACGUAAGUGUCAGCUGUUUCUUAGUCUAAAAAACUGAGAGAGUAAGGGCUGGGUAAGACGGGUGCCAGCCGCCGCGGUAAUACCUGCAGCUCAAGUGGUGGCCGCUAUUAUUGGGCCUAAAACGUCCGUAGCCUGUUUAGUAAAUGCUUGGGUAAAUUGUGUAGCUUAACUAUACGAAUACCGGGUAGACUGCUAAACUUGGGACCGGGAGAGGCUAGAGGUACUCCCGGGGUAGAGGUGAAAUUCUGUAAUCCUAGGGGGACCACCAGUGGCGAAGGCGUCUAGCUAGAACGGGUCUGACGGUGAGGGACGAAGCCCUGGGGCGCAAACCGGAUUAGAUACCCGGGUAGUCCAGGGUGUAAACGCUGCUUGCUUGAUGUUAGUUGGGCUCCGAGCCCAACUAGUGUCGGAGAGAAGUUGUUAAGCAAGCUGCCUGGGAAGUACGGUCGCAAGACUGAAACUUAAAGGAAUUGGCGGGGGAGCACAGCAACGGGUGGAGCGUGCGGGUUAAUUGGACUCACGCCGGAAAUCUC